rnacentral:tRNA from 1 species
CAUUUUAUAUUUUAUAGUAAAAUUUCAAAUUGCAAAUUUGAAGAUAUCUAAAAGGUGAUUAAAAUGU